rnacentral:rRNA from 1 species
GAUUAACGCUGGCGGCGUGCAUAACACAUGCAAGUCGAACGAUGAAACUUAACUGAUUUCUUCGGAAUGAUUUUAAGUGGAUUAGUGGCGGACGGGUGAGUAACGCGUGAGUAACCUGCCUUGGAGAAGGGGAUAGCCUUUGGAAACGAAGAAUAAUACCCUAUGAUAUGAUAAUAUCUCAUGAUAUUAUCAUCAAAGAUUUAUCGCUCUAAGAUGGACUUGCGUCUGAUUAGUUAGUUGGUGAGGUAACAGCUCACCAAGGCAGCGAUCAGUAGCCGGCUUGAGAGAGUGUACGGCCACAUUGGGACUGAGACACGGCCCAGACUCCUACGGGAGGCAGCAGUGGGGAAUUUUGCACAAUGGGGGAAACCCUGAUGCAGCGACGCCGCGUGAUUUAGAAGGCCUUCGGGUUGUAAAAAUCUUUUGUAUGGGAAGAAAAUGACAGUACCAUACGAAUAAGGACCGGCUAAUUACGUG